AAAAUAGGGAAAUGUGAUCUAGAUGAAAUUACUAUAAGGUGGGUGCACACUUGGUUGAAAGACCAUACUCAAAGAGUAGAUAUCAAUGGUUUGCUGACAAACUGGGAGGACAUAUCUACAUGGGU